rnacentral:rRNA from 1 species
UGGGGAAUAUUGCACAAUGGGCGCAAGCCUGAUGCAGCAACGCCGCGUGCGGGAUGACGGCCUUCGGGUUGUAAACCGCUUUUAGUAAGGAAGAAGGGGAGCUUGCUCCUUGACGGUACUUGCAGAAAAAGGACCGGCUAACUACGUGCCAGCAGCCGCGGUAAUACGUAGGGUCCGAGCGUUGUCCGGAAUUAUUGGGCGUAAAGAGCUCGUAGGCGGUUCGUCGCGUCUGCUGUGAAAUCCCGAGGCUCAACCUCGGGCCUGCAGUGGGUACGGGCAGACUUGAGUGGUGUAGGGGAGACUGGAAUUCCUGGUGUAGCGGUGGAAUGCGCAGAUAUCAGGAGGAACACCGAUGGCGAAGGCAGGUCUCUGGGCACUUACUGACGCUGAGGAGCGAAAGCGUGGGGAGCGAACAGGAUUAGAUACCCUGGUAGUCCACGCCGUAAACGUUGGGCGCUAGAUGUGGGGACCUUUCCACGGUUUCCGUGUCGUAGCUAACGCU